rnacentral:rRNA from 1 species
CCUACGGGAGGCAGCAGUGGGGAAUCUUGGACAAUGGGCGCAAGCCUGAUCCAGCCAUGCCGCGUGAGUGAUGAAGGCCUUAGGGUCGUAAAGCUCUUUCGCCAGGGAUGAUAAUGACAGUACCUGGUAAAGAAACCCCGGCUAACUCCGUGCCAGCAGCCGCGGUAAUACGGAGGGGGUUAGCGUUGUUCGGAAUUACUGGGCGUAAAGCGCGCGUAGGCGGGUUGUUAAGUUAGAGGUGAAAUCCCGGGGCUCAACCCCGGAACUGCCUUUAAUACUGGCAACCUAGAGUUCGAGAGAGGUGAGUGGAAUUCCGAGUGUAGAGGUGAAAUUCGUAGAUAUUCGGAGGAACACCAGUGGCGAAGGCGGCUCACUGGCUCGAUACUGACGCUGAGGUGCGAAAGUGUGGGGAGCAAACAGGAUUAGAUACCCUGGUAGUCCACACCGUAAACGAUGAAUGCCAGUCGUCGGCAAGCAUGCUUGUCGGUGACACACCUAACGGAUUAAGCAUUCCGCCUGGGGAGUACGGUCGCAAGAUUAAAACUCAAAGGAAUUGACGGGG